CUCUGAUUACUCAUUUUCACACACACACACACACACACACACACACACACACACACACACACACACACACACACACACACACACACACACACACACACACACACACACACACACACACACAUAUAUAGCCUACACAAGGGGUUAUUUUUAGCCACUGCCGCACUCUUUGCCCUGUGCUCUGUCUCUCUCUGCCCUAGUCUUAUUCUUUUUUUUCCCUCUCUACAGGGAAUGAGAAGGACAGCGAUUCAUCAGAUCGUUCUCACUAUAUUUUUGGGACAAGUAAAGUAAACCAGAGAUCCAGACAGUAAAGUAAAUGAGGCAAUUUCUACUUUGGUCGCCCCAUCACGUUUCUCAUGUAACAUGUCGAUUGUCGAUAAUAAUUGUAUCCAGACAUGAGCCUGCAAUCAAUACGCUCUUGUACUCCCAAUUGAUUUAUGCUUCAGUGCUGCUAAAAUUAUCUGCAGUUUUAUUGACGACUUCAUCUUACAUUUUUCUUCUCACGUGGUCAGACACAUGUGACUGUACAUGGAGACUAACUGUAUAGUGCCAGUGACGUCUUCCCUAAGGCACACAGAAACUGUCAUAACCCACUGCAGUGUUAAUAUACUGUAUACUGCCACUCUUUUCUACUGCAUGUCUCUUUUAAAACACAUGCAAACGCUCUCUUAGGGAUAGAAAAAAAACACUGAUACAGAACAGAUAAGAUGAGAUAUGACAAAUAAUCUGAUGUGUCCCAGUACCAAAAAAAUGUAAAGAUCCACAAUAAAUAUGUUAACAAAAUACAUGUUUUUGGCAUCAGUAUACAAAAUAAAUUAAAUGUAAAUAAAUUAAUACAUCAAACUACAAAGCAAUGAAAGACAAAACAUAGUCCAAAAUUGUGUGUUUUUUAUUAGAUGCAAAAUAGACAUAGGCCUACAAGAGCACUUCAACAGAUAACAAAAAAAAAUGUGUAAUUAUAAUAUAGUGAGAAUAUAUUUUAAUUUUAUUCAAAGCACAGAGAAUGCAAUCAAUCUCAAUGUGAGAGCAAUUAAAUCAUCGUUAAAAUUAAGGAUCAUGAAUAAUAAAUAACUGAACAGCCUCCGUAGUCACUGAGUGAAGCUAGUCAUUACACAACAGUGGAUUAAUAUUAACGUGAAGGUGGCAUUUUUUCAACAAAUGUAUGAGAAAUAUCAGGAUGCAUCUUUAUUUAAAAAAAAGAAAUACAAGUUAUGAUUUUAAAAUACGUUUUCUGGUGCUAAUUAAAGGAAACCAGCAUAAUUAUCAUUGCAUUGUGUUGUUUCCUCUUCUGUCCCUGUAUAUGUAGAUUCAUCAAGAACACCCAGAAAAUGAACAACUUAUAUUCCCCAAACCUUUUUGUUUUUAUUCAACUCUUCAUUAGGUGCAGAGAAGCCGGUACUUGUAGAGGAGCAGAGAGACAAGAGGACAGAGGCAGAGAGAGCAACAGGGUGUCCGGUCAAACAUGAGACUCUUGUAGGAUGAUGUAGGAGUUUGGUGUGGUGCCUAAAAUAAGAAGAAAGCCAAAGCUUCAACAGAAAUCCCAUUCAACUUAUCCCAAAGGGAUUAAAUGCAGUAUUUCAAGUCUGUGGGGACAACAGUGAAGAGGAUCAAAGGAACAGCACUGAAGAUUUGAGCCAAAGUUGCCUGCAAUAUCACAUCCACUGAUACUCUAUACUCUUGGCCACCUCUCAUAGUCUGUAGUAUUUGAACAAGUGUGGAAAUUGAUUUGGCUCUGUCAGAAAAAGGUUCCAUUUGUUUAGUUGAACUUACGUUAUUAAAAGUCAGUGAAUUUCUAAUUCUUAUAUAGAUUAGAGAUCAACAUCUGUUUAGUUAGAUUUCAUACAUUGUAACCUAUAAAGACUUUUAACUCAUCCACAAAUGUAAGUAACCGAUGAAUCAGAAUCAGCUUUAUUGGCCAGGCAUGCUCACACGUGCAAGGAAUUUGACUUAGAUAGACUGUGCUCUAAUUAAACAAAUUUCAAUUCUGUGCCUUCCCUAUUUAAAUGAUGUUUGCAAUCUGUCUCUUGAUGACCCUGAUGAACGCCACAAGCCGAAACGGGUCGCUCUAAUUUGUUAAUAAAGUUGA